UUAAAUUCGUUGAACAAGAGAAGUAGCCGGAAGAUCUAGCUGCAGCGAGUCGGGGGUGGUGGAAGCCCGAUAGCGAGGAUACUGGUGAAUGGACUUGGGAGAAGCCAGGUGAAAGAUUUCAGUAGCCGGGGCCGGGAGUUUCCCGUUAUAGGAACAGGAUAUCGAGGCAACUCUGUAUCUGGUGAGAGAGAUAGUUCUAUUCUAUCUAAUUUGGGUGGUACCGCGGAAGCAAGUCUUUCGUCCCUUUU
rnacentral:ncRNA from 1 species